rnacentral:rRNA from 1 species
AUGGAGUCUCCGCAGAAGAAGGCUGCAUCCAUGGACGGCAGCAAGAGCAAGACGACGGCUCAUCUGCUGCCGGUGACCGUGGCCAAGAAGACGCCACGUCCGGAUCAUGUCCGAUGGGUCAGCGCGUGGGCGCUCUUCACCGCCAGCGUCUUCGCCUUCUCCUUCGCCGUGGGCUCUGCAAUCGCCUACGCACUCGACCAUUUCCACGUCGCCUGCAGCCAGUCCUCCUUCUUCCUCCGGUGCGACCAGCUGACGGACGCGGCGGAAGCCGUGGUGAAUGCCCUAGGGACCGGGAUGCUGUGCUGCGCCGCGCUCCAGGCGGCCGCGGCGGUGCUGGCGCUGCGGCUCCGUUGCCGCCGUCGCUCCCUCGCCUACCUCGCGCUCGCGCUCACCAUCGGCGGCCACUGCAUCUACGCCGCCAUAGCCCACCUCUUACUCGUCGCCGACCCAGGAGACCUCUUCUUCGGGAUCAGCUUCGCGGUGAGCAUCGUCUUCUUCGCGGCGGGAGACAUCAUCAGCUUCGUGUCCCUCCUCCGCGGCGGCGAGGACGAGGAGUAG